GAUGAACGCUGGCGGCGUGCCUAAUACAUGCAAGUCGAGCGAACAGACGAGGAGCUUGCUCCUCUGACGUUAGCGGCGGACGGGUGAGUAACACGUGGAUAACCUACCUAUAAGACUGGGAUAACUUCGGGAAACCGGAGCUAAUACCGGAUAAUAUAUUGAACCGCAUGGUUCAAUAGUGAAAGACGGUUUUGCUGUCACUUAUAGAUGGAUCCGCGCCGCAUUAGCUAGUUGGUAAGGUAACGGCUUACCAAGGCAACGAUGCAUAGCCGACCUGAGAGGGUGAUCGGCCACACUGGAACUGAGACACGGGCCAGACUCCUACGGGAGGCAGCAGUAGGGAAUCUUCCGCAAUGGGCGAAAGCCUGACGGAGCAACGCCGCGGGAGUGAGGAAGGUCUUCGGAUCGUAAAACUCUGUUAUUAGGGAAGAACAAAUGUGUAAGUAACGAUGCACGUCUUGACGGUACCUAAGCAGAAAGCCACGGCUAACUACGU
rnacentral:rRNA from 1 species